GUCUACAACCAUACCACCCUGAGCAUGCUCGAUCUUGUCUGAUCUCAGAAGCUAAGCAGGGUCAGGCUUGGUUAGUACUUGGAUGGGAGAGAGGAGGAGAGAAAGAUAGACA
ensembl:rRNA 5S_rRNA 5S ribosomal RNA